rfam:Aedes albopictus isolate Foshan contig38181, whole genome shotgun sequence.
UGCCCAGCAACUACUAUCCCUACCUCCACGCAGUACCGGCCGGAAACUAUGAGCAACCUUAGGGAAGAUCGGGUAACUAACCCCGGUGGAAACUUUGGUCGUAGGCUGACAGGGAAGG